GACAGAGGUGCCAAGCGUUAGGCGGAAUCACUGGGCUUAAAGCGUGUGUAGGCGGGCGAUCAAGUACCUUGUCGAAAUCCCAACGGCUCAACCGUGGAACUGCUGGGUAGUACUGGUUGUCUUGAGCCAGCUAGGGGCGAGCGGAACAGACGGUGGAGCGGUGAAAUGCGUAGAUAUCGCGUGGAACGCCGAAGGUGAAAACAGCGUCGCUGGGGCGUGACGCUGACGCUGAGACACGAAAGCCAGGGAGGCGAACGGG
rnacentral:rRNA from 1 species